AGUGAACGCUGGCGGUAGGCCUAACACAUGCAAGUCGAACGGCAGCACAGUAAGAGCUUGCUCUUACGGGUGGCGAGUGGCGGACGGGUGAGGAAUACAUCGGAAUCUACUUUUUCGUGGGGGAUAACGUAGGGAAACUUACGCUAAUACCGCAUACGACCUACGGGUGAAAGCAGGGGAUCUUCGGACCUUGCGCGAUUGAAUGAGCCGAUGUCGGAUUAGCUAGUUGGCGGGGUAAAGGCCCACCAAGGCGACGAUCCGUAGCUGGUCUGAGAGGAUGAUCAGCCACACUGGAACUGAGACACGGUCCAGACUCCUACGGGAGGCAGCAGUGGGGAAUAUUGCACAAUGGGCGAAAGCCUGAUCCAGCCAUACCGCGUGAGUGAAGAAGGCCUUCGGGUUGUAAAGCCCUUUUGUUAGGAAAGAAAAGCAGCAGGUUAAUACCCCGCUGUUCUGACGGUACCCAAAGAAUAAGCACCGGCUAACUUCGUG
rnacentral:rRNA from 1 species